GGGGCGGAGUAUUUUGAACUCUCUUCAGUAAAGGUUUAUAAGAAAAAUGUGUAUUUUUAUCAUAAAAGAAAACAUGCCUGUCAUCAUUAACAGCCAGUAACUACUACCUCUCACUAUGUAUACUGCAUCAGGCAAAGCUCUUUACAUUCAUAAUUUCACAGUAAAGCGCAUUGUGAACGUUGCAUGACUACAGAUGAGGUACGUAUUUCUAAGUCCCUUUGGCAUAUGGAGAAAGCAAGGAUGUGCAGCCGGUGGUUCUUCACCUUGUUGGGUCACAGAGCCUUCAAGGAGUCUAAGAAAGCUGUAGACCUUCUCUUCAGAAAAAUACUAAUAAGCUCAUUCACACUAAAAUGUAUAGAUGAUUUCAAAGAGAAGUCUGCAGUUACCUGAGGUGGCGCAGUGGUUAAGAAUCCGCCUGCCAAUGAAGGGGAUACGGGUUUGAGCCCUGGUCCAGGAAGAUCCCACAUGCCAUGGAGCAGGUAAGCCUGUGCACCACAACUACUGAGCCUGCAUUCUAGAGCCUGUGAGCCACAGCUGCUGAGCCCAUGUGCCACAGCUACUGAAAUCCAUGCACCUACGGCUCAUGCUCCACAACAAGAGAAGCCACCACAAUGAGAAGUCCGCACAAUGCAACGAAGAGUAGCCCCCACUGGCCGCAACUAGAGAAAGCCUGCACGCAGCAAUGAAGACCCAACGCAGCCAAAAAUAAAAAUAAAACAAAAUAAAUAAAUUUAUUUAAAAAAAGAUACAUCUUAAGAGAAUGGAAAGAAGCCACAGACUGGGAAAGAUACUUGCAAAACACAUAUCUGAUAAAAGAUGUGUAUCCAAAACGUGCAAAGAACUCUUAAAAUUCAACGAUAAAAAGAACUCAAUUUAAAAAGGGCAAAAGAUCUGAACAGACACCUCACCAAAGAGGAUAUACAGAUGGCAAAUGAGCAUAUGAAAGAUGCUCAACAUUGUAUGUCAUUAGAGAGUUGCAAAUUGAAAAACAUUAAGAUACCACUACAUACAUGUUAGAAUGGCUAAGCUCUAAAAUACUGACAACACUAAAUGCUGGAGAGGAUGUGGAACAACAGGAACUCUCAUUCAUUGCUGGUGGGAAUGCAAAAUGGUACAGCCACUUUGGAAGACAGUUACCUAUUUCUCAUAAAGUGAAACAUUGGCUUAUCAUAUGAGCCACCUGUCACUCUCCGAGGUAUUUAUCUAAAUGAAUUGAAAACUUAUGUCCACACAAAAACCUGCACAUGGAUGUUUAUAACAGCUUUACUCAUAAUUGCCAAAACUUGGAAGCAACCAGGAUGUCCUUCAAUAGGUGAAUGGAUAAACUAUGGUACAUCCAUACAAUAGAAUGUUAUUCAUUGAUAACAUGAAAUUAAUCUGAAAAAGAAUGGUUGUUUGUAUAUGUAUAACUGAACCACUUUGCUGUACACCUGAAACUAACACAAUGUUGUAAAUCAACUAUACCCCAAUAUAAAAUAAAAAUUAAAUUAAAAAAAGUGAAAUGCGCUAUCAAGUUUCAGAAAAACAUAGAAGAAGCUUAAAUGCAUAUCACUAAGUGAAAGAAGCCCAUCUGAAAAAGCUACAUACUGUAGACUCCAACUUUAUGACAUUUUGGAAAAGGCAAAACUAUGGAGACAACAAAAAGAUCAGUGGUUGCCAGGGGCUGGGAGGAGGGGACAAAUAGGUGAAGCACAGGGGGUUUUUAGGGCAGUGAAACUAUUCUGUGUGAUAGUUUGUGUAAUGGUGGAUACGUGAUUUUAUGCAUUUGUCAGUACUUAUAAAACAGGGGCUUCUCUGGUGGCGCAGUGGUUGAGAGUCUGCCUGCCGAUGCAGGGGACACGGGUUUGUGCCCCGGUCCGGGAGGAUCCCACAUGCCGUGGGGCGGCUGGGCACGUGGGCCAUGGCCGCUGGGCUUGCGCGUCUGGAGCCUGUGCUCCGCAACGGGAGAGGCUGCAACAGUGAGAGGCCCACGUACCACAAAAAAAAAAAAAAGAAAGAAAACAGUACAACACAAAGAGUAAA